UUGAACGCUGGCGGCAUGCUUUACACAUGCAAGUCGAACGGUAACAGGUUAAGCUGACGAGUGGCGAACGGGUGAGUAAUGCAUCGGAACGUGCCCGAUCGUGGGGGAUAACGCAGCGAAAGCUGCGCUAAUACCGCAUACGAUCUGAGGAUGAAAGCGGGGGACCGCAAGACCUUGCGCUUUAGGAGCGGCCGAUGUCGGAUUAGCUAGUUGGUGAGGUAAAGGCUCACCAAGGCGACGAUCCGUAGCGGGUCUGAGAGGAUGAUCCGCCACACUGGGACUGAGACACGGCCCAGACUCCUACGGGAGGCAGCAGUGGGGAAUUUUGGACAAUGGGCGCAAGCCUGAUCCAGCCAUGCCGCGUGAGUGAAGAAGGCCUUCGGGUUGUAAAGCUCUUUCGGCGGGGAAGAAAUCGCACUUUCUAAUACAGAGUGUGGAUGACGGUACCCGAAUAAGAAGCACCGGCUAACUACGU
rnacentral:rRNA from 1 species